UACGUAGGGUGCAAGCGUUGUCCGGAAUCAUUGGGCGUAAAGCGUGCGUAGGCGGCUCGGUAAGUCCGCUCUGAAAGUCCCGGGCUCAACCCUGGGAUGCGGGUGGAUACUGCCGGGCUCGAGUCCGGAAGAGGCGAGUGGAAUUCCCGGUGUAGCGGUGAAAUGCGCAGAUAUCGGGAGGAACACCAAUGGCGAAGGCAGCUCGCUGGGACGUGACUGACGCUGAGACGCGAAAGCGUGGGGAGCAAACAGG
rnacentral:rRNA from 1 species